rnacentral:rRNA from 1 species
UUGUUGGGUAGGGGAGCGUUCUGUAAGCCUGUGAAGGUGUGCUGUGAGGCAUGCUGGAGGUAUCAGAAGUGCGAAUGCUGACAUAAGUAACGAUAAAGCGGGUGAAAAGCCCGCUCGCCGGAAGACCAAGGGUUCCUGUCCAACGUUAAUCGGGGCAGGGUGAGUCGACCCCUAAGGCGAGGCCGAAAGGCGUAGUCGAUGGGAAACAGGUUAAUAUUCCUGUACUUGGUGUUACUGCGAAGGGGGGACGGAGAAGGCUAUGUUGGCCGGGCGACGGUUGUCCCGGUUUAAGCGUGUAGGCUGGUUUUCCAGGCAAAUCCGGAAAAUCAAGGCUGAGGCGUGAUGACGAGGCACUACGGUGCUGAAGCAACAAAUGCCCUGCUUCCAGGAAAAGCCUCUAAGCAUCAGGUAACAUCAAAUCGUACCCCAAACCGACACAGGUGGUCAGGUAGAGAAUACCAAGGCGCUUGAGAGAACUCGGGUGAAGGAACUAGGCAAAAUGGUGCCGUAACUUCGGGAGAA